GACGAACGCUGGCGGCGUGCUUAACACAUGCAAGUCGAACGGAAAGGCCCCUUUGGGGGUACUCGAGUGGCGAACGGGUGAGUAACACGUGAGUAACCUGCCCUUGACUUCGGGAUAACUUCAGGAAACUGGGGCUAAUACCGGAUAGGAAUCCUUGCUGCAUGGUGGGGGUUGGAAAGCUUCGGCGGUUUUGGAUGGACUCGCGGCUUAUCAGCUUGUUGGUGGGGUAGUGGCUUACCAAGGCUUUGACGGGUAGCCGGCCUGAGAGGGCGACCGGCCACAUUGGGACUGAGGUACGGCCCAGACUCCUACGGGAGGCAGCAGUGGGAAAUAUUGCACAAUGGGCGGAAGCCUGAUGCAGCAACGCCGCGUGCGGGAGGACGGCCUUCGGGUUGUAAACCGCUUUCAGCAGGGGCGAAGCUUGUGGUGACGGUACCUGCAGAAGAAGCACCGGCUAACUACGUG
rnacentral:rRNA from 1 species